CCUACGGCUCAAAUCCUGAGGGCUUUUUGCCCCUUCACAGGAACUCGCCCCUUGGCCACUUUCUAGCUCGAGCCCUUGCCUGCGCUUUGGUGAGGUCCCGUGGGAUCCCGUGGGCUUCGUGUCCUAGUGAAGUUCACCUGACCUCACACCUGAACGACAGUCGUUGGCCUGUCAGGUUUAAUUUCCCCGAUUUAGGGAUCGUUUAUGGUGUUUGAAUUACGGUCUUCCUUUUUUCCAGAAAAAUGCUCUGCUUGUUGUAAGCCCCCUAGAGUGGUCUUAAUUGACUAGAUAGGCGGGAUAUAAAUAUAAAUAAAUAAAUAAUAACCAGUGCAGGCGUUACAUAACGCUUAGUUAUUCAUGUUUUUUUCCACUUUGAAGAAUAUCGAAGGCCGCUUUUUGCCCUGGCACUGUUUCGGGAGACAAAUAUCUUUGUUGUUUCAGGCAACUGGCGUUAAACAAAAUGGACAGAACUCAUUCUGAAACGAAUGAAGAAAAAGACUUCACAGAUCGUACAAAUAAAAGAUAUUCCUCAAUUUUAAAAGCUCCCAGAACUCCUCUUCGAGAUUUAGGGAGUGGAAAUGAAUUAAUUCAGGUAAGCAUUAAAGUUUUCUGUGCCAGUAUUUUAGAAAUGAGACCUUUUUCAAUUUAUUUCAGUGUCUGCAACCUCUUACAAGCUGAAACAUUUAUUAUACUUGAGGGAAUGACUUCUUCCCAUAUUUACAU
rnacentral:lncRNA from 1 species